rnacentral:lncRNA from 1 species
UAUAUAUAUACUCAAAAUGAUAUGAUGGAGAUUGAAUUCAAGUCCAAUGGUCCGUACGUAAGUGAUCGAGGAUAAAGUUAUCAAAGUACCUUGAUGAUUGUCAUGUAGUCAAUGAUGGAGUCGAUCGACAUAAGAUAUAUACAUAGGUUUCGUGGUGUUCAGGAAGUUCUCCACUUCAUUGUGAAACAUUAGGACGUUUCAUCAUGUGCUUAGGACGGUGGAGAUAGAGAUCGAUAAUAGUCUUGGAUUCGAGCGCGCAGGUGCAAUUUCAACAACAUAUAUAUACAUGUGUACGGAAGUCUGGAAUGGGAAAUCCAUAUGAGCACUGGCCAACUUUUGCGUCAACUUAAACCACAAAUUGUACAACACGCAUACGGAUCAACUGUUCUGACUGGGGACCAAGUUGUAUUUGGAGCUAGCUUAUCUGUUGUAGGUAGAGUUAUAUAUGUCCAUGUCAUGAAGUCUGAUGUUUGGAUGGAUGUACAAUGUUUGCCAGUAGCGAUCAGUACUUAGGUAAUGAGUGGCUAUAAAGAGAUGAGGUGAUUAUCAUCUUAAGGUUUUACAAUUUUAACUUGAGUCCAUGCAUAGUGAUGAUCAGCAAGACAUACUAAUUAGCUAAAGUAACAAGUGUAGUAGUGUGUCUGCAAUGCAAAAAAUAUACUGAUAUGUAGUAAGAUUGUAAGAACAAGCGUAACGAUGAAGUGAUCGAAUACAAUCCAAUCUACCUGCAUGAAAGCUACAUAAGAGUCUUGUUAAAGCGAUUUCAUCGAACCAACAUUAUUUUUGCGUCUUAAGUUGUGAUACAUAAUUACUUGUUUCGGUAUUCCUCAACUAACCAUUCACCUACCUUGAGCAAUGUUUGAAUGCGACAUAUGUGUUAUACAAUUAGAGGUUGGCCAGCUACUUCAGGCGAAUGAUUUGGUGGUUAUUAUUAGAGGUUGGCCACAUGCCAGUGUGUUCUGGUCGUUUUGCUGGAGAGGAGCUUAUGGAAUUUAAUUCCUGCUGCAGUGGUGUGGUCUAGCUACUUGGAAGGUGUGCAAUGAGAUUAUUUUUGAUAAUGUGGAUCCAACCUCUGAAGGUCUGAUUAUGCAGAUCAAAGCUACAGUCUAGUACUGGUUAUGGGGAGCUCCUGAGCGCAAGCAUCACUUCUUCGACGAGUUGGUUGGCAGCUGGGAGUCUACUAUGUGGUCUUUGAGUGCUGUUUUCGUCCUUGUUUGUUUUUUCUUUUUAUUUGUGCAUGUUGCCUACGGACUUUGAUUUGGUGAGAACCUGUGUCACCAUUUUUGUUUGGCUUUGUUUUUCUUUCAGUACACAUCAAUCAAAAGUUUUACUUAGCCAAA